rnacentral:rRNA from 1 species
GAAAAAAAAAAAUUAAUAAAAUAAAAUAGGAUAAUAAAAAAAUUUUUAAUAAAAAUAUUAUGGGGGUUAAAGUAUUUUUAAAGAAAAAAUUUAAUAAUUUAUAGUAAAUUAGUAUUGUAAAAGAAUUUUGAAAUAUUUGAAAAUUGAAUUAAGAAAAAGUAAUUUUAAAUUAAUGUAUCUUGUGUAUCAGAGUUUAUUAAAAAAGAUUUUUAGGUAAAAAUUUCUCGAAUUUAAAAGAGUUAAUUAAUUAUUAAAGUUAAUGUUGAAUAAUUAUUUUAAAUAAUUAAUUGGAAAUGAAAUGUUAAUCGUUUUUAAAUAUAUCUAGUUUUUUUAGAAAAAAAUUUAAUUUAAAAUAUUAUUUUAAAAAAUUUUAUUUAAAUAAAAUUUUUUAAAAUAAUAUUUAAUAUUUUAAGGGAUAAGCUUUAAAAUAAAUUUUUAUAAUAAUUUUUAAAUAAUAAUUAAAAUUUUAGGAUUUAUAUUGUCAAUUAAUUAUAAUUUUUUAUAAAUAAUUUAAUAAAAAAUAAAAUUUAAUAANNNNNNNNNNNNNNNNNNNNNNNNAAAUAAAAUUUAAUAAUAAAUUUAAUUUUUUAUAAAAAAAUAAUUUUUAAUUAAAUAAAAUUAGUUAUAAUGAUAAAAUUAGUAUAAAAUUUAUAUAAAAAAAUAAAAAAUAUUUAAAUUUAUAUAAAGGAAUUUGGCAAAAACUUAUAUUCACUUGUUUAUCAAAAACAUGUCUUUUUGAAAAUAAUAUAAAGUCUAAUCUGCCCACUGAUUUAAUAUUAAAGGGCUGCAGUAUUUUGACUGUACAAAGGUAGCAUAAUCAUUUGUCUCUUAAUUGGUGACUUGUAUGAAAGAUUGGAUGAAAUAUAAACUGUCUCUAUAUAAUUAUUAAAAUUUAAUUUUUUAGUUAAAAAGCUAAAAUAAAUUUAAAAGACGAGAAGACCCUAUAGAGUUUUAUAAUUUUAUUAAUAUUAAAAAAAUAUAAAUAUUAAGUUUAAUAUUAAUAAAAUUAUUUUAUUGGGGUGAUAGAAAAAUUAAAAUAACUUUUUUUAAAAAUAAACAUUAAUAUAUGAUUAAAUGAUCCAUUAAUAAUGAUUAAAAGAAAAAAUUACCUUAGGGAUAACAGCGUAAUUUUUUUUUUUAGGUCAAAUAAGAAAAAAAGUUUGCGACCUCGAUGUUGGAUUAAGAUAAAAUUUAAAUGCAAAAGUUUAAAAUUUUUGAUCUGUUCGAUCAUUAAAAUCUUACAUGAUCUGAGUUCAAACCGGUGUAAGCCAGGUUGGUUUCUAUCUUUAGAUAAUAAUAAUAUUUUAGUACGAAAGGAUCAAAUAUUAGAAAUAAUUUUAAAUUAAAUGAAUAUUAAUAAUAAAAAUUAUAACUAUUUUGGCAGAAAAAAUGUAAU